AUAACGCAAGAAUAAAAUAUAGUUGUAAAUAAGAAGAAAAAGAAGAAGAAGAAGAAGAAAAAAGAAGAGGAAUAAAGAAAGAAAGAAAGAAAGAAAAAAAAACGAAGAAGAAAAAGAAACAUUUACAUGGACGUAAUAUGUAAAACAUUUUGGAAAGGAAUUUCUAUCUCAAAUUCUAUUGAUCGCCUCUAAGUCCGUUCAUGGGUAGGGGGCGUUCAUAGAUCACACGAUUUUAACGCAGUUCCCAUUGCGUACACACGCGUUCUUCGAACAUCGUGUAACGAUCCGUUAAUAACGUUACCGUUAACUAGUAGCACACAUUAGUGGUCACCGCGGCUAUUUGCAUAUCGGAUCGGUAAUUUCCAUCUGGCAGCAGCUAGGAAGCAAGCAAGCAAGCAAGCAAGCAAGAGCAAGCAAGUACAAGAGCUAGCUAGCUUACCAUAGCUUCCUAGCCAUUAGUAUACUCGUAUAUAUAUAUAUAUGCAUAUAUAUAUAUAUAUAUGUGUGUGUGUGUGUGUGUGUUUGUGUAUGUCGGUUCGCAUAUCCGUGUACGCACGAACGCGCAUGGAACGUCGAGGCGUGAUAUGGAAUCGAAUGAGAAACGUUAUCUACGUCGACACGAAUAAUCAAUUAAUAUUGUGAUAAAAGGAAAAGAAAAAAAGAAGAAGAAAAAAGGAAGGAAGGAAGGAAGAAAGAAAGAAUAUAAUCAAAUAUAUAACGGUGUGACUAAGAGAAAUUCGCUUGAACUAUCAAUUAUCACGCGUCGUUCUAAUGACUUGAUUUGUUAUCAUUCUUAACAAAAUUGUAAAAUGUCGAAGUCAUACUUAACGCAUUAACCGUGCUGAUACGAUUACGGCAAUUAACUUAAUGAUAAAAAGGAAAAAAAAAGAAAAGAUAAAAAAUAUAUAUAUAUAUAUAUAUAUAUAUAUAUAUAUAUAUAAUAUUUGUAUAUGUAUGACUCAGAAAUUUAUUUUAAAUAUUAUCACUUAUCAUUGUUCUAAUCACUCGAUACAUUAUUAACGAUCCGUUACCAAUUUAUCAAUCAAAAUUAUAAACUUAAUGGUCAAAAUACAUAAGUAAAUACAUAAGGAACAUUUGUAUGGACAAAAAGAAAAUAAAAAGGAAUAUAUAUGAUCGUUCGACUAUAAAAAAAAAAAGAGAGAGAGAAAGAGAGAGAGAGAGAGAGAGAGAGAGAGAGAAGAAAAAAAAUGAAUAAAAAAAAUGUCUAAUGGCAUAGAAAAUAGAUCGAAUUUUGUAAUAAUAAUCAUAUUUAUUAAUAUAUUAUUUCAAGUAACGACCAAUCGGCAAAAUGCCACGAUCAAAUUUUAUAAAACGACGAUUAAGUGGUGGUAAUAGUUAAAUGCAUUAUCAUGCACCGCGAUGUUUUAUUAUUGCACUGCGCAUGCGUCGCUCGCGUACUAUGCACAUUGCAACAUCUCAUUAAUCUCUUUCUCUUUCCACGCACUCGCAUAGAACGAAAAGCGAAAUGUCGACGGUCACGCGUGUACCGAGAGACACAUUAUACCUCGUGUAUUUUUAUCAACGGAAGUGCGUCGUUGUACGUGCGCGCAUUCCUGCAGACGAUGCCUGGAAAAGCGACUCUGGGAGUGUCACAAACUGUCUUUUAAUAUACAUCUAUAUAUAUAUAUAUAUAUAUAUAUAUAUAUAUAUGUGUGUGUGUGUGUGUGUGUUAUAUGUAAAACAAAUUUUCGAUAAGACGAAAGAUAUAAAUAUACGUAUAUAUUAGAUAAAUAGAUAGAUAGACGUAGACAGAUCUAAUACAAUGUAUUUGAUAAAUAGAUCUAUAUAUAAAAUACGUAUGUAUAUCUAUUAUGUGUAUUCCUUUUCUUUUCUUUUUUUUUUUUUUUUUUUUUUAUCUUUCUACUUUUUAGAAAUAUUCCAUCUAAUAUUUUACAUUCUAUUUCUAUUAGAAUGUUCUAAUAUCCUAUAUCAAUUUUGCCUUUCUCCCAUCAAUAUCUUCUCAUAGAUAUUCAGAAACGACGAGAAUAGAUGCAGAAUCGAUAAUGAACUUAGCGAAUGGAUUUCAUCCUAAAUGCAAUAGAUUGACUUUAAUAUUUCACAUUUUAAUGCAUUUACGUUCGGGAAACUGUAUCCAAUCGAUAGUUUCCUUAUUUCUAAUUCUAAUGUUAUAUAUAUAUAUAUACAUAUAUAUAUAUAUAUAUAAAAUUAUAUACAGGUAUAUAUCGUAUAUAAGUACAUGUAUACAUAUCAGUUUAUAAAUAUAAGAAAAAAAAGGAGGAAAAAGAAAAAGAGAAAAAAGGAAUAUAAAAAAUAAGCAGUUAAGCAUUGUAAUCAAUCGUUGCAGACUCAUGCGGGGGUGGGAAGGGGGAGAGUGAUGUGACGAGGGGGAGGAUAUGGGAGGAGUAGGAAGGGAAAAAAAAAUUGGAAUUAAUUAAGUAAGGAAUGCAAGAACUGGGAACUUGAAGAGAACUCGAUUGGAAAAAGUAACAUUCUUUUAACUUUGAAUUCUCGAUAAAAAUGUGAUCGUGGUAAUAAUAAAUGUAGUAAUGAAACUCGUUUGGAUGACUUCCAAUAUGGCUGUGAGCGGAAUUCGUAAUAAAAUUCUUUGGUUUUAUACCGAGGAAAGAAGAUGAGGAAUAAUAAAAAAAAGAAAAAAAAGAAAAAGAGAAAGAAAAAAGUAAAAGAGAAAGAGAGACACACACAGAGAGAGAGAGAGAGAGAGAGAGUUCUUCAGAGAGAUCACGAGAGAUGAUGGAUAUCCCCAGAGAGAUUUCACAGAUUUAAUAAAAUAUCAAAUUACAAGAAAUCCAGAUUAAAUGAUGUCCUAAAAAAAAAAAAAAAGAAAAAGAAAAAAAAAAGGAAAAAGAAAGAAAGAAAAGUAAAAAAUGAAUCAAAAAUUAUGAAUUAACCGAAGUCGGUGAUUUAUUUAAAAGA